UACGUAGGGUCCGAGCGUUGUCCGGAAUUACUGGGCGUAAAGAGCUCGUAGGUGGUUUGUCGCGUUGUUCGUGAAAACUCACAGCUCAACUGUGGGCGUGCGGGCGAUACGGGCAGACUGGAGUACUGCAGGGGAGACUGGAAUUCCUGGUGUAGCGGUGGAAUGCGCAGAUAUCAGGAGGAACACCGGUGGCGAAGGCGGGUCUCUGGGCAGUAACUGACACUGAGGAGCGAAAGCGUGGGGAGCGAACAGG
rnacentral:rRNA from 1 species